rnacentral:rRNA from 1 species
UACGUAGGGGGCUAGCGUUGUCCGGAAUCAUUGGGCGUAAAGCGCGCGUAGGCGGCCCGGUAAGUCCGCUGUAAAAGUCCAGGGCUCAACCCUGGAAAGCCGGUGGAUACUGUCGGGCUCGAGUCCGGAAGAGGCGAGUGGAAUUCCUGGUGUAGCGGGUGGAAUGCGCAGAUAUCAGGAGGAACACCAAUGGCGAAGGCAGCUCGCUGGGACGGUACUGACGCUAAGG